UACGAAGGGUGCAAACGUUGCUCGGAAUUAUUGGGCGUAAAGCGCACGUAGGCGGCUUAGCAAGCCGGAUGUGAAAGCCCUCGGCUCAACCAAGGAAGUGCAUCCGAAACUGCUGAGCUUGAGUACUUAAGGAGGAUCGCGGAAUUCCCGGUGUAGAGGUGAAAUUCGUAGAUAUCGGGAGGAACACCGGUGGCGAAGGCGGUUCUCUGGGCCUUACC
rnacentral:rRNA from 1 species